UACGGGGGGAGCAAGCGUUGUUCGGAUUUACUGGCGUAAAGGGCGCGUAGGCGGCCACCGCAAGUCGACUGUGAAAUCUCCGGGCUUAACCCGGAAAGGUCAGCCGAUACUGCGGGCUAGAGUGCAGAAGGGGCAACUGGAAUUCUCGGUGUAGCGGUGAAAUGCGUAGAUAUCGAGAGGAACACCUGCGGCGAAGGCGGGUUGCUGGGCUGACACUGACGCUGAGGCGCGAAAGCCAGGGGAGCGAACAGG
rnacentral:rRNA from 1 species